AUAGGGCAUCAGGUAAAGAAAUCGUCAGGGUUUGAUCAUGGCUCAGAUUGAACGCUGGCAGGGAUGCUUUGCAUGCAGUCGACAUGCUAGCACGGACUCGGUCUGUGGCGAGUGGCGAACGGGUGAGUAAUGUAUCGGAACGUGCACUAGUAGCGAAAGGGGAUAACUACGCCAAGCGUAGCUAAUACCGCACGCCCUUCGAAGGGGGAAAGCAGGGAGGACCUUCGGGCCUCGCACUAUUGAAACGGCCGAUAUCGGAUUAGCUAGUUGGUGGGGUAACGGCUCACCAAGGCGACGAUCCGUAGCUGGUUUGAAGAGAGGACGACCAGCCACACUGGGACUGAGACACGGCCCAGGCUCUACGGGAGGCAGCAGUGGGAAUUUUGGACAAUGGGGAAACCCUGAUCCAGCCAUCCCUGACCUGCGAUGAAGGCCUUCAGGUUGUAAAGCACUUUUGGCAGGAAAGAAACGGCGCGCGGACAAUACCCCGUGCAACUGACAGUACCUGCAGAAUACGCGCAACUGACACUACGUGCCAGCAGCCGCGGUAAUACGUAGGGUGCAAGCGUUAAUCGGAAUUACUGGGUGUAAAGCGUGCACCAGGCGGUUCGGAAAGAAGAUGCGGAAAUCCAGAGCUUAACUUUGGGACUGCAUUUUUAGCUACCGAGCUAGAGUGUGUCAGGAGGUGAAUUCCCGCGUGUAGCAGUGAAAUGCGUAGAUAUGCGGAGGAACACCAUUAAGCGAAGGCAGCCUCUGGGAUAACGCUGACGCUCAUGCACCGAAAAGCGUGGGGAGCAAACAGGAUUAGUACCUGGUAGUCCACGCCCCUAAACGAUGUCAACUAGCUGUUGGGGCCUUCGGGCCUUUGGUGGCGCCCAGCUAACGCGUGAGGGUUGACCGCCUGGGAGGCCAGACAAGAUUAAAACUCAAAGGAAUUGACGGACCCGCACAAGCGGUGGAUGAUGUUAGUUAAUUCGAUGCAACGCGAAAAACCACCUACCCUUGACAUGUCUGGAAUCCCGAAGAGAUUUGGGAGUGCCACGAGCCGGAACACAGGUGCUGCAUGGCUGUGUCGUGUCGUGAGAUGUUGGGUUAAGUCCCGCAGCAACCGCAGCCCUUGUCAUUAGUUGCUACGAAAGACGCUCUAAUGGAACUGCUCAGUGACAAACCUUCGGAGGAAGGUGGGGAUGACGUCAAGUCCUCGUGGCCAUAUGGGUAGAAGCUACACGUCAUACAAUGGUCGGGACAGAGGGUCGCCAACCCGCGAGGGGAGCCAAUCCCAGAAACCCGAUCCGUAGUCCGGAUCGCAGUCUGCAACUCGACUUUGCGUGAAGUCCGGAAUCGCUUCAGGUAAUCGCCGGAUCGACGUCUUCGCAGUGAAUACGUUCCCGGGUCUUGUACACACCGCCCGUCACACCAUGGGAGUGGGUUUUACCGAAGUGAUUAGCCCUAACCGUAAGGAGGGCGAUUACCACGGUAGGAUUCGCGGCUGGGAGUGAAGUCGUAACAAGUUCAG
rnacentral:rRNA from 1 species